rnacentral:lncRNA from 1 species
AGUGUGACAGGGCUAGUUCCAAUGAUUCCAAUACAUACUGUCUCCUAAGUCUACAAUCAUAACUAAACCAUUUCAGUCAGAGGGAAAUAGGGAAUAUAGUGGCAAGGAAGCAAAUCACAUAGCAAGAGGGUGACAGAGGUUAAAUCACUACAUCAACAGAGAGUGGUGUAGUAAAGGGAGGAAGGGCUGGGAAAACUGCAUGAGGGUGGAUUACAGAGAGCUCUGAAUGCCAUUCUUGGUAGGAUAAAAUGUGAGAACUGAACCCCAACUGAGAAGGUGCCAAUUAAUUCAGGUGGCACUGACCUGUGAGGCUGAGGAGGUCUUAAUCACCAGAACACUAAAUGCUCAUUAUCCAACCUUUUAAUUAGCAAAGAAACUACCCUGUCUGGAAAAGUUUUCAGCAAAGAACUAAGAUUUGAUCAUGCUGUUAAAGAAAAAAAAAGAAAAGAAAAAAACAAUCCUCUGAUCUCUCCCAGGCAACAAAUCUUGUAUUUCAGAUGUAUGUUUUCAUAUCUUCCAGGUCCCAAUUGGAGAGAAAAUGAGGAAAAGGAGGAACAGAUGGGACUAAAAGCAGAAGGCACCUGAUGAAAGAGAAAAAGCAAGGCUGGGGGAAGGGUGUUUAGAGAAGGACUGGGAGAACAAAAGCAAAGAAUCUGAAAUGAGAGCAUGCUUUCUUCCGUUCCCAUGAACUUCAGAAUGAGCCACAUCUUUACUCAAAGCCUCCUCUGCUAUUUAUAUGUGUGACCUUAGAUUAUAUGAACCUCUGGACUCUGGAGCAUUUUGAGGUCCUGUGGUAAAGGCCUUGGUCAUGUCUGCAUAAAAGUCAGCAUGGGAUAUCCUCAAAGCUGCAAGGCUCCACCUAUGUAGACACUACUGGGAGCAGGAUGCCUGGGAGACGAAGCAGGGCAGCAUAAAUUUUUGUAGCAGAGGCAGCAUCUACAGGGGGUGUCUUUGUGUCUCGGAGGAUUGUUGCAAAAGAGUUCAUAAAUGUGCAGUUCCCUAUCUUCCCCAACCCUUCAAAGAUGGGAAAGAACUUCAUUUAGAUGUUCCAUCCUACCCCGUUUUUUUACUGAUCUGGGCAAUACCAGGUCCCCUUAACACACACACACACACACA